AUGUUCAUUUUCUAAUCACAGAUAUCAGAGUUAAAGCUACACAGAGAUGUCUAGCAUGGUCCCUGUACAAGGAUGACAUGCAAACCCAUGUCAUAUAUAAUAUAUAU
ensembl:snRNA U6 U6 spliceosomal RNA